rnacentral:rRNA from 1 species
AUGAGUAACACACCUUGUGCAAUACUGAGUUGGAAUGUGCGAGGGCUGAAUUGGCAAGCAAGACGGACGGUUGUGCGUGAGAUUGCAGACGCUCAUCGAGCUAGCAUCCUCUGCCGGCAAGAAACAAAGCUGGAAUCCUGGACACCAGCCAUCGUCCAUGAGCUGGGAGGCCGAAGGCUGGAAGGUUGCGCCUUCCUGCCUGCAACGGGCACCAGAGGGGGAGUGGCCAUACUUUGGGACAAGGCUGUCAUCACCUUCACCACUCAUGCUAUCGGUUGCUUCUCAAUCACGGGCAGAGUGUCUGUUUUGCAAGACAACGCCUCCUUCUGGCUCACGACAGUUUAUGGGCCUGCUGAUGAUGCACGCAAAGACGCCUUCCUGACAGAGAUGGCACACGUUGCACCGCCGCCGGGAGAGCCAUGGCUGAUCAACGGGGACUUCGACGUUAUAUAUGAAGCGAGGGACAAGAACAAUUUGAAUCUAAACAGAAGGAUGAUCAGCAGGUUCAGGGCAGCUAUUGACACAGCUGGGUUGCGCGAGAUUAAGUGUAAAAACAGAAGAUUCACUUGGACAAACAAGCAGCAGGACCCAACAAUGGUCUGCAUCAACAAAGUUUCCUGCAACGCUGAAUGGGAUGCACUCUUUGUUGGGGAACGUAGCAGAAUUUUAAAAUUUUCUACACAACACCAAGAUUAA